ncrna:unclassified sequences raiA RNA
GCCGUUUAGGUCUGUGGUUGAAAGUCCAGGCCAGCUACGGGCAAAGGGACCCACGUAAGCUGGACCGCAAGGCGGCAGUGAUCAUGGCGUAGCUUAGAUGUAAGUCCUCUGAUAAAAUAUCAAUAGGCAGGUGUGGGGGCAAAGACCAGGUCAGCUAGGCGGU